AACGGUCUAUACCUGCGGUACCUGCGGAAGGAUCAUUACCGAGUUAUCAACUCCCAAACCCCUGUGAACAUACCCGAACGUUGCCUCGGCGGGACCGCCCCGGCGCCCCUAGCGGCCCGGAACCAGGCGCCCGCCGGAGGACCCAAACUCUUGCUUUAAACAGUGGCAUACUCUCUGAGUCUCACAAACAAAAAAUAAAUCAAAACUUUUAACAAUGGAUCUCUAGAUCGGAAGAGCACA
rnacentral:misc_RNA from 1 species